UAAGAAGUAGAAAAAAAAAUAAAUCAACUUUUCAUUCAUUUUCAUGCCAGCUACUCUUUGAGUACCUUUUAAUCAAAAGAAAAAAAAAAG
rnacentral:ribozyme from 1 species